UUGGCUUAGUGGUUAGAGCGUCCGCCUCGGAUGCGGGAGGUCGUGGGUUUGAUCCCCGGUCGAG